rnacentral:rRNA from 1 species
AAAGUGUCUUCGGACAUUAGUAGAGUGGCAAACGGGUGAGUAACGCGUGGGAAUAUACCUUAUAGUACGGAAUAGCCUCGGGAAACUGGGAUUAAUACCGUAUACGCCCUUCGGGGGAAAGAUUUAUCGCUAUAAGAUUAGCCCGCGUUAGAUUAGCUAGUUGGUGGGGUAAAAGCCUACCAAGGCAACGAUCUAUAGCUGGUCUGAGAGGACGAUCAGCCACACUGGGACUGAGACACGGCCCAGACUCC